CUCCUCCACCUAUCUCUCUGCCGCUCGCCUUUCUGCUGCCAUAUACUGUCCCCCUCCACCUCUUUUUUCGCCUACCUAUCCGCCGCUGCAUGUUGCCCUCUUUCUCCACCAAUCUCUUCAUCACUUGGGCUCACCGCCGUAUACUGACCCCUUCUUCCUUCACUCACCUUCCUUGUCGUUGCCCAUUGCCAACCCUCUCCUCCUCCUCCAUUCACAUCUCCUCUACUUGGGUCGCUCAUUGAGCU
rnacentral:lncRNA from 1 species